ACUAGGAUUAGAUACCCUAUUAUAGUAAUUGAGGUUUUUAUUUAAAUAUUAAAUGUAAAGCAUUAAAGUUAUGAGAUAUGGCAGUUAUAUAAAAUUUUAGGGGAACUUGUAGAUUAAUUCGAUAAUCCACGAUAUGAUGUACUAAUAAGAUUUUAAAUGAAUUAUUUUUGUAUUGUUGUUUUUAGAUCUUGUAUAUAUAUUUAGGUUUCAAUUUUAGUGUUGAAUUUUAGUAGAUAUUUAAAAUGAAUUCAAAUCAAAAUAAAGUAUUUAUUAGAUUAUAUGAGUUACAUUAAUUAAAAAUUUUAUAGAUUAAAAAUUUUAAGAUUUUUAAGAAAAAGGAUUUAAAAGUAAAUUUAAUUAUUAGAUUAAAUUGAAUAACUUUUAUAUAGUGUACAAAUUGCCCGUCAAUUUCAGUAAAAUUGAAGUAAGUCGAAACAAAGUAAGAGUAUUGGAA
rnacentral:rRNA from 1 species